rnacentral:lncRNA from 1 species
GCUCCGCCCGGCCCAGCCGAGGGCCCGCCCCUUCGCGCCCCAGCCAGCUCCACCGUACGGGUUGUGCCCGCCCCUCCCAGACCCCGAUCACCCGCAGCUACGAGAGUUGCCGCCGCCAGUGUGUGCCGGGCGACGUCGCCCACGCCCCUGCCAGCCAUCCUCACAGCAGCAGCAGCCCUGGUAGAAAUUGAUGUGGGCACCCUCUCGACCCGCCCCUGUACUUGUCUUUGUCCCAGCUCUGCGGACUGAGCCUACCUCUCUUCCUUGGGGUAUUAAUGCUACCUAUUGUCUCUCUUGAAUCUUUUCCCUCCAAAACUGCACAGAAGGAGCCAUUUAACACCCAGGGAAACUGAGGCUUAGAGUGCUGCAAUGCUUGCCCAAGAUCCCACAGCCAGAUGGGUAAAUCUAGGAUUCACACCGAGAUCUUUGGAAAACCAAAAGACUUUUCCUCUGCUUUUCAGCCUCCAGAAUUCUCUGAAUUGCUUAAGUCUCUGGCCUCAAAUGCCCCAAGAUCCUCCUUGGGAGACCUCUCUGACAGGGAGCUUGGGGGAGAGCAGAGGGGCAUUGACUUAACUCUGCUGGAGGGAUCUUCUGAGGAAGAAACUUCUCCUUCUGCAUCCAGGCUGUGCUGGGCCCUGGACUCAGAGGAGAGGUGGUCCCAUGCCAUUGGAUUGCAUCUAUGACUUCGGGAGGUAGGGCGAAGACUGGUCCCCCAGACACCACAGAGCUUCCCAUCUUCUUUUGCCAGGCACUUCACCAAAGAAGAUACAUGGAUGACAAUUAAGCACUUGGGAAGAUGCUCAACAUCAUUAGUCAUGAGGAAAAUGCAAAUUAAACCAGAGAUACCACUACACACCCCACCCGUGGAAGUGGUUUAAAUUUAAAAAAUAAAACGAACAAUUCUACAUGUUGGAGAGGAUAUGGAGUAACUGAAACUCUUAUACAUUGAUGGUGGGAAUAUAAACUGGUAACUACUCUGUAAAAACAGUUUUUAUAAACAUCCACCUACCAUAAGACCUAGCAAUACCCACUUCUAGGUGUUUAGAGAAGUGAAAACUCUUGCUCAGACAAAAAUCUGUACAAAAAUGUUUACAGCAGCUCUGUUAGCAAUCACUAAAAACUGGACAUGACAGGUGGAUGGGUAAAUAAAUCAUGGUACAGCCAUACAGGAACAGAGAGGAAUGCAACAUGAGUGAAUCUCAAGGCAUCAUGCUGAGCACAAGAAGCCAGUUCAAAGGGUAUGUGCUGAAUGUUUCAUUUAAAUGUCGGAAAUGGCAAAAGUAUUGUUGGAGGACAGGUCAGUGUUUGUAAAGGAUUACAAGUAGAGGAAGGUGUGACCACAAAGAGCAGCAUGAGGAAAUUUUGGAGUGAUGAAACUAUUGUGUAUCUUGAUUGUGGUAGUGAUUAUGCAAAUCUAUGUACAUGUUUAAAAAGUCAUAGAUGCACUCAGUAUGCAAUGAGGAUAAAAUAAAAAAUAAUAAUUUAAAAUCAUAG